GUGCAUCACAGUGGACUUCAGUGAAUUCAACAUCCGCUCAGCAAGAGGUGAGACGACAUGUUCUGCCUGAGGAAUUUCAGUGUUUUCAUCUUGUGCAUGCUUCUUUCCAUCAUCCAGUCAGGUCAUGGUUCUGAGAUUAUUGGAGGGAAGGAAGUUAAGCCACACUCGCUGCCCUUCAUGGCUUUUUUGACAAGCAAGAAAUAUAUGUGUGGGGGGACAUUAAUCCACCCACAGUGGGUCCUGACGGCUGCUCACUGCUCUGGGUAAGAACCUGAGGUUCACUUUUCCUAAAUUUCCAAAUCAAAAUAUUGCAGUAUUUAUUUUUAACAGAAGAUAUGAAGUGUAAUGCAGAUGGAGAUAAUUAACAUGCCCACAAACUGCUCCAAUAAUAUCUUGAUUUAGAGUGAGUACUUUAUAAAUGUUAUUGCUGGAUUUUCAUACAGUGCAAAAAUAAAUAUGAUUACAGUUUUUCUCGAUUGCUAAAACACAUUUCUUGAAACUACGCCUCAUAUCCGCACAACAGUAAACACAAAUCCAUAACAUCUCACUCAAUUCCCCAAACAUCCUAUUUCCAGGUCAAAAUGAAGCUCUACACCCAAAACUAUUCACUCCUGCUGAAAAACCGAACUUUGCCCUCAGACAUCAAACACAAGCCCUCAAAAACACACACACUACAACAGAGUUUUGCACACUGGUACAAUUAAUUCAAAACAAUAGUUCCAAAACAAUUAGGUUGCUUAUGGUUCUCCCCUUCAAAACCCUUGUCACAUGAUAAACACAAAAGACGCAACCAAUGUAUGUACAGUGGCACAUUGUCAUUCAUGUACUAUACAGUACAACACACACCAGAAACAUUAUCCCACCACAGCAUCUUGUCUUUGGUCUGGGUCAGGCCAGAGAAUCUCAUCCACAUCACAGGCUAUAUUGGCCCCAGCCAGGCAGCGGGGGUAAAAUCCUCUUGCAUGCCUGAUCCACCCCUGGCAUGCAUCUACUGAUAUGUCUAGGCAGGCCUCUUCCAUGGCCUGAAGGAGGUGAACACGGACAUAAGGUUCUCGGUCAUACACUUUCCACCGCCAUGCCGAAAAUAACUCCUCUAUCGGGUUUAGAAAGGGGGAGUAUGCAGGCAGAAAGAUAUUAGAAAACCUUGGGUUAUUGGUAAACCAGUCACGAACCAGAGCAGCGCGAUGGAAGCUGACGUUAUCCCACACAACAACGUAGUGAGGCUGCUCUGGCUGUGCUGGUUCCCUGUAGUCCAGCUGGAACAUA